GCUGAAGGCUGGUUCCACAUUGGCUGGGAGUUAUUCAGGCUGUUUUUCCCGGCAAAGCAGUACAAGAAAAUCUUGGUGCAAAGUUCCUGAUGUUAUGGGGCUGGAUCCUCUACUUUCAAAACCUGGUGAAUGAUUUGGUCAUUCAUGUGGAGACCA